rnacentral:lncRNA from 10 species
AUUCUAUUUACACAUUCUGCUCCAAUUACAGUGAAGCAGUGCUCCUCCUAGCCAAGAAUCAUGCAUCAGAACCCUUCUUUCUUCUACAUCCUCUGGGACUUCAUUCUAUCAAUUUGCUCUUCUUUUUUUUUGUCUUCAACCUCCAUCUUUUUGUGAUGAUAAUUAAGUACUCACAUGUACACACAUUCAAAAACACAGAAAUAAGGUGCUUUUGUUUUGUGGAGACACUUUUUCCUUUUCCAAUUCUAACAGGUAUGCAUGUUUGAACUGCUUUAUUUCAAAAGAAUAAAACAAGAUUUUCAAAUAUAAUUAAGCAUAUUAAAAAAGCGUAAAAUAAUACUUUUAAUAAAAUUCAUAUCAUAUUUAGGUACAAUAAACAGUAUUUGCCAAAUAUGUUAAUGUAUUUUUCAUCUCAUUUUUCUAUUUUAUGUCUGUAAUUUAACUAUUGUUAGUACUCUAGCACAUAUAUGCAUUUUAUAUAUUUUUUAUUAAUAGUGGUGCACAAUUGAAAUUUUGGUAACUAUUGAAUUAAAGAAAAUUGGUUUCAUAUAAUAUCUUCCUGCAAUAUUUGAAUACAUAUAAAAAUCCUUACCAAAAGCUAAGACAUAAAUCUAUGUACCUCUAUUUUUAAUCCAAAGUCAUUUUAUAAGUUGAGAAAGUAAUUGAAAAUGUAUUUUUCCUGUAAAGAAAUGCACUAAGCAUUUUUUUCAUAUAAAAUUUAAUGAGUCAAUUGCUAAGCAAAUAUUACCAUUGGGGGUGAAGGACAUAUGAGUUCUAUCUGUAUUAUUUCUUAUAACUGCUUAUGUAUCUACAAUAUCUCAAAAUAAAAAGUUAAAAUUAAUGAGUCAAAAGUUAUCAGGGUUGAAUUUUUGAUUCCUACAGGUUGCAUGAAUAAUAUUAUCAGAUAAUAUACACAAGAUCAGAGUUGCAAGAUAAUAUUAACUUUAUCUAAAUGUUCAUGAAUAGUUUCAGAUAUAUCUUUUGAAACUGACUAUUUUAAUGUACAUGUAUUGUAAUACAAAGGUAGAUUAAAAGUUAUUCUAAAAAUUGAGUGUACAGAGUAGAAUGUUCAAAAUCUCUCUCACCAAGCAUUAUUCAUAAUUCCAGUCCUUUUCUCAGAAAAAGCCACUGUUACUCAUUAUAUUUGUUUUAUUCAGUACGAGUGUUUUCAACAUAUUUUUUGGUCACUACAAUAAAGAUUAAUAUGCUUAACAGCUAUAUCACAUUUAACAUCUGCUUGAAUUGGAUGUGCCAUAAAUCACUUAACCAUUUUUCUAUUAAUAAAAUUACAUUAAUAUCCAAUAGUUUAUUAUUACAGUAAAAGAUGCAAUUAAACAUUUCUACAUAUCUUUUUGUCUAAAUGUAAAUAUAUUUCCAUAGGAAAUCAAACUGUUGAAUUUUGAAUAUUUACAUUUAAGUUCUGAGGGCUCUCAAAUUGUCCUCCACAACAUAUUAAUAGAACUUUAUGAAAGUAUAAUUUUCCCCACAUACUGUUAAAUGUAAUAUUAACAAAUGAAGAGUGAUAACAUGGUGGGCAAACUAUUAGAUAUUUUGGUUAUUUUAAUUUCAUUUUACUGAUUACUAAAGGUAUUUGGCAUUGUUCAUAUGCUCAUAGGCCAUUUGAGUUACUUCUUCUGUGAAUUGCUUGUGCAAUUCCUCUACUUAAUAAUCUAUUGUCUUGCUUGUGGUAGUUCUUUUUUCUGUGUACAUUAAUCAUUUUAUAAUGAUAUGUUUCAAACAUUUCUCUUAGUUUUUUCCUGUACAUUGUUAAAAUAUUUAGAGAUGACCUG